UAUGAGUUUUUGGUUUUUAACGAUGCUGUGUAGAACCAAACUUUGCGUUUCAUGUUAUGUCUGAAUCGUUUCCUUCUUCAACAGUUUAACAUAUCUUUCUCUCUCUCUCUCUCCGCCGUCUCCUUCCUCUCAACUUUCGAACUCCCCUAUGUCUUCAAGUUUGUCUCUUCCUUACCUUCUAUUCAAUGUUUCUAUCUUAAUCUAUACAAUGAAUCUUCAGUUUAUAUUUAAAGCAUUAACUCCCACAAACUCUCCGCCUCCCACUUUUACAAUCAAAACAUUAGCUUUGUACGUAUAUAAUCUGAAAAACACCUCAAACACUAUAAAUAGGAGAGCGUUGAGUUUGGAAUCAAACAUCACCAACACGCUCUCUCAGUUUAAUUUCUCUCAAAAACCUAAAUCUCUCCUUCAAAAUAUCUUGGUAUGAUGCUGUUGUUGGUCGCCUUCUCCUCCUUUUCAUGGACUCGCGAAUCAUCAAAAAAAAAUGAGAAUUUGUAGAGUCACUCUCCUUCUCCUUGCUGAAAAGAACUCAGUGAUCCACAAAUCCAUUCCUGCUAUUGAUGACAUUUUGAACAAUGCUUCGGAAGUUUGACAUCUUCAAGCUCUAGCAAACACGAACUCAGAACUUCCUGGUUUUCCAUUUACGUUCACUAUAGUAAUUUUAUAUAUGAUUUUGUUAUUAGCCAUGAAGCUCUUUAUCAAAUGGCAGAUCUUGGCCAAAUUGGCCAAAUUCGUCAUGUGCAAGGUUCUGACUUUAAGAAUGGUGAAGCAAUGACUAUACUUGUGGUCUAUUUCCUCACUAGGUUUUUGGCAUAUAUGUGGAAGAGAGUCAGAGUGAAAGAGCGAUAAUUGUUUCCAAAUUUGAGGAAAUUUCAAACGGCGAUCAGAGGAAGAGUUUAUAAAAGCUUGGUCUGGAAUCGAGGAAUGAUAUGGUGGGUACAGAUUUUGAUCAACUUUUAAAGCAUCAGAUUUGGAUUUGCAUCAUGUAACCAUCAUGACAUUUUUCAUGUAUGGUAACUCAAUUCUUUAUAAUUUGUGGUUGUCUCUAAAUUUGGAUUACACUGUGUUUCUCGCGAUAAAAAAGCAUAACACAUAUAUUAA